rnacentral:rRNA from 1 species
UUUUCGCUAAGGGAUCAGCCUAUGUCCUAUCAGGUAGUUGGUGAGGUAACGGCUCACCAAGCCAAUGACGGGUAUCUGGUUUGAGAGGAUGAUCAGACACACUGGAACUGAGACACGGUCCAGACUCCUACGGGAGGCAGCAGUGAGGAAUAUUGCACAAUGGAGGAAACUCUGAUGCAGCAACGCCGCGUGGAGGAUGACGCAUUUCGGUGUGUAAACUCCUUUUAAGAGGGAAGAUUAUGACGGUACCUCUUGAAUAAGCACCGGCUAACUCCGUGCCAGCAGCCGCGGUAAUACGGAGGGUGCAAGCGUUACUCGGAAUCACUGGGCGUAAAGGGUGCGUAGGCUGACUUUUAAGUCAGGCGUGAAAUCCAAUGGCUUAACCAUUGAACUGCGCUUGAAACUGGGAGUCUAGAGUUCAGAAGGGGCAGAUGGAAUUAGUGGUGUAGGGGUAAAAUCCGUAGAUAUCACUAGGAAUAUCAAAAGCGAAGGCGAUCUGCUGGGAUGAUACUGACGCUGAGGCACGAAAGCGUGGGGAGCAAACAGGAUUAGAUACCCUGGUAGUCCACGCCCUAAACGAUGAAUGCUAGUCGUCGGGGAGCUCGUCUCUUCGGUGAUGCACUUAACAGAUUAAGCAUUCCGCCUGGGGAGUACGGUCGCGAGAUUAAAACUCAAAGGAAUAGACGGGGACCCGCACAAGUGGUGGAGCAUGUGGUUUAAUUCGAAGAUACACGAAGAACCUUACCUGGCCUUGACAUGGUAGGAACCCUGUAGAGAUACGGGGGUGCUGGCUUGCUAGAGCCUACACACAGGUGCUGCACGGCUGUCGUCAGCUCGUGUCGUGAGAUGUUGGGUUAAGUCCCGCAACGAGCGCAACCCUCGUCCUUAGUUGCUAACGGUUCGGCCGAGCACUCUAAGGAGACUGCCUUCGCAAGGAGGAGGAAGGUGAGGACGACGUCAAGUCAUCAUGGCCCUUACGGCCAGGGCUACACACGUGCUACAAUGGGGCGUACAGAGAGCUGCGAUACCGCGAGGUGGAGCCAAUCUCUUAAAGCGUCUCUCAGUUCGGAUUGUUCUCUGCAACUCGAGAACAUGAAGCUGGAAUCACUAGUAAUCGCAGAUCAGCUAUGCUGCGGUGAAUACGUUCCCGGGUCUUGUACUCACCGCCCGUCACACCAUGGGAGUUGAUU